GAUGAACGCUGGCGGCGUGCCUAACACAUGCAAGUCGAGCGAUCUUCUUCGGAAGAGAGCGGCGGACGGGUGAGUAACGCGUGGGUAACCUGCCUCAUACACAUGGAUAACAUACCGAAAGGUAUGCUAAUACAAGAUGAUAUAAGAGAUUCGCAUGGAUUUCUUAUCAAAGCUCCGGCGGUAUGAGAUGGACCCGCGUCUGAUUAGCUAGUUGGUAAGGUAACGGCUUACCAAGGCAACGAUCAGUAGCCGACCUGAGAGGGUGAUCGGCCACAUUGGAACUGAGACACGGUCCAAACUCCCACGGGAGGCAGCAGUGGGGAAUAUUGCACAAUGGGCGAAAGCCUGAUGCAGCAACGCCGCGUGAGCGAUGAAGGCCUUCGGGUCGUAAAGCUCUGUCCUCAAGGAAGAUAAUGACGGUACUUGAGGAGGAAGCCCCGGCUAACUACGUGCCAGCAGCCGCAGUAA
rnacentral:rRNA from 1 species